rnacentral:lncRNA from 1 species
CCGCCCCGCCCCUUCCUCCUCCCAGACCCCGCCCCUUCCCUUCUCGCCACCCAGCCCUCGCCAUGCACACACAUGCACAUACACACACACGGGCCACCGUCCACGCCAACAUACCUGACUUGCAGCAGGCGCGGUGGGCGGGGGCAUCGGCGUGCGACGGGCUGGGAGGCGGGAGGAGCGCCGGGAGCCCACGCCGCGGCUGCUGCCUGGUCCCAGUCUUCUCGGGGGUCCACGCCGCCUUGGACCGCCUCUUCCACACACUACCUUUUCAAGCUGCAUUUCCGUAGUUUUCCCUGUUCCCGAUCCCGCCCCUCAGACCGACUGCCGGCCUCAGCUCUGGGGCGCCCAGGGGUCAACAGACCUCAGGAUCUCUCCCUACUCCAUAGAGAAAUCUAAUUCAGGAAAGCCACUGAGAAACUUGUCUCCACCAAGAUAAAGAAACUGAAGCUCAAGAAGUAAAGUAACGGCCAAGGUCACACAACUAGUGACUGGGUUGGGUGUGACUGAGCAACCACUGUGUGCCAGGGUCUAAGAAUACAGGAAACAAGACACUCCUCUCUUUUCUCUACCUAAUGAACACCUAGUCACCCUUCAGGAGCAAACUAAAAAUGUCAUCUCUUAUGAAACUUUCCGUAAGCCCCUUGCCACCCACAAGUAGAGUUGAUAACUUGCUUUUUUGUAUACCCCUCUGAAAUAGCACUU